AUGUGUAAAGCUGAAAACAGAUGUAUGGCCCAGGACCUUGGUGUUUGCAUAUUUCAAGAAAUGCGGAUAAAAACCAUGCAUCCAGAUGUCAAAACACUGCAAUGGAUUCAGUGUGACAGUUGUAACAAAUGGUUGCACAGUGACUGUGCUGGCAUUGAUCCAGCAAUGGUCACAGAGGACAUGCCAUUCGACUGUGGAUGUGACAUUGAUCAGUCAUAUCCUUAUGAUAAAACACUAUCAAUAUUGAAGCAGGGAUUGGUGGUGGACACUGUAAUGACAGACCAGGACAUUAUGGAACUACACAAUGGCUUGACACGUGGCAAAAUAAGAUCAAACAGGAUGCUUUUGCAUAACCAUCCAACAUUUUGUCCUAAACUGAAGAUGAGACUUAAUGAAAGGAUUUAUUUUUUUGAUGAACAACAGGUAAAA
rnacentral:lncRNA from 1 species